CGCCUCUUGAACCACUAUAAGAGGUCCAGCCUGCCCAGUGACUCUGUUCAACGGCCGCGGUAUCCUAACCGUGCGAAGGUAGCGUAAUCACUUGUUCUUUAAAUGUGGACUAGUAUGAAUGGCACCACGAGGGUUAUACUGUCUCCUUUUUCUAAUCAGUGAAACUAAUCUCCCCGUGAAGAAGCGGGAAUAAAUAUAUAAGACGAGAAGACCCUAUGGAGCUUAAAACAACAUAGCACCUACCAUACAACAUUUAAACUUCUGAGCCCUAACUUACUUGGUAUGAUAACUAUAAGUUUUUGGUUGGGGUGACCACGGAGCAUAAUAUAACCUCCAUGCUGAAUAGAACUUUUUCUAAGCUAAGAAUAACCAAUCCAAGCAUCAACAUAUUGACAUCAAUUGACCCAAUAUAUUUGAACAACGAACCAAGUUACCCUAGGGAUAACAGCGCAAUCCACUUCAAAAGCUCCUAUCGACAAGUGGGUUUACGACCUCGAUGUUGGAUCAGGGUUUCCCAGUGGUGCAGCCGCUACUAAAGGUUCGUUUGUUCAACGAUUAAAACCCUACG
rnacentral:rRNA from 1 species